GGAACGGGUGCUCGCCGGCCGGCUAAUCUACGACGAGUUGAGUACAAUCCUUUUCUGGGAAGCAGUCGAGGACCAUACCGUGUCGCUGUGUAGUUGAAUGACGCCUGCGGUUCCUUUUUUUUCUUCGCCACUACGAAGCGCCCGUCACCGCCGACGUCCCAUGUCAUGUCCGCCACCACCGCUUAUCUCCUGCCCCAUGCCGUCGGCGUUCCCUCCUCCCAGUCCGCUUCACCGUCGAUGGAAUUGAGAAGAAGCGCUCUUAAUUGGAAGAUUGGAAGCCAUCUUUUUCGAGUUCGGUGGAGAUAGCGGAGCGAGGGGAAAAACAAAUCUCGUUCUCAUAGGCGAGGCGAGGAAGAAGAUUGAAGCUUCAAAGCAAUUAUUAUUUUUGAAUAUGUAGAAAGGGUAAAUAUAAUUAACUGGAGUUGGUCCACAAUGGGCACGUGGCGCCGUCUUACUGGCCCUGCACAGUAACUCCUGCAGGGAGCCCUGCAGGUGAGCCGAACCCACAAAAUACUCUGAGUGACACCCAAACCUCCUGAUCCACAGACCAACCCAACCUAUGACGGAACCCUCAACAACAUGCCGAGUUAUAUAUUAGGAACCCCUUCUAAUGGAGCUCCCUUUGAAGUAAUGGAGCUAUGAGCGACAUUGAGAGAAAACUAAAUUAUUUUUCACCUUAAGAACUGAUAAGAUAGUGGCCGUCUGCUUGGAAGAAAGGCUCACGGAGGAUGAAAAAGUUGGAAGAAGACCCUAUAAGGGUAUACUAUUUAUUCAGAGAAGCCCGCCUUCCGGUAGCGCUUUUAAUACUCAUGUUACUAUUCCUAUUUUUGAUUCCUGCUGUAUUUACUUUCUGUCUUGCCUCUAUGCCUUCCUGGUGAGUGACUGUACCAAAUAAUGGAGGUCGUUAAGUUUCUCAAGAUGAAUAGGCACCUAGUGGUAUCUGUUGAAGAGAGCUCCGCACCGAUGACAACGGUGAUUUGUUGUAUCGGUUUUGUUUUCUGUAUAUGAUUUUUUUCAGCAGCUAAUACAUUUUGUCUCCAUUGGUCUCGUAGCUAUAAGAGUUGGAGAAGGAAAAUUGCUUGCCAUACAUUCAGAUAGCAAGUACCAACACUAUCUGUAGCCCCAGAUAAAUAUGUUUAUUAGGUUA